GUAGAAUCAGCCACAAUCCACACUGAAAUCUUGUCUUCAGAGCAGCCACUUAGAGCUGUUUUUUAAAAGACCACAGAAGGGCUGAGCUGUCCUUUUACAGUUGCCUUGCAUAUUCCCUGUGGACCUAUACUGGAUUUGGGCCUUGUGAGGAUUUAAGCAGAGGAGCAUUUGUUCCUAGAUCCUGCUCAGAUUAACGUAUAAGCUGCUUUGACUGGAGCGAUUACAUACACGGCAGAGCAAAGCUGUGGAUACCUCUCAAACAGGAAGCAGCAAGAUGUGAUGCCUGAACAAGCAAAGUAACUCCUCCAAACUUGCAGAUACUGCCAGCGUUGAGCCAUGUUUCACAACCAGGUCACCACGCUCAGCCUCCUCAGGCACCUGAUCGUAAACAGCCCAGAUUGGAGAACUGCGGAAGAAAACAGCCCUGUCUACAACUGACCUGAGAUCAUGCACAAGACUCCUCCUCUGAGGACAGUAAUUAGGCAGCUAAUCAAUUCUAGGAGAUGUACAUACAUCGUGUUGGCAGAAGUUCAGGGCAUGAGCUUCCAUACCAAUAUUUGGUUACUCAACGUUUCUGUGUGUUUUAGAAGGUUCAUUCCACCAAGAAUGAUCUGAAGCUCAGGAAAUGUAACACACUGGAUCACAAUGUAACACAAUGGAUCCUAGCAAUGGACCAAUAUAUUUUUGAGGAGACAGCACAAGAAAACAUCGUCCAGGAUUUGAAGACUAGCAAAGCCACGAUUAAAGCUCAUUCAAAGGAGCAAUUACUAUUACUUUCAGCAGUCAGUGGUCUUCUAUCCAUUCUGUGCCUUAAAGGAGAUUUGGGGGAAGGAAUCAAAAGAUGGGGGAAGUUAUUUAUAGCCCUGUACUUGUCUUUAUUCCUUCUAAGUUAAGCACAGAUCAAGAUUUGCUAUCCCAUUGCAACCCUGCCUUCUUAGAAAUAAAUUCAUACAUUCCAGGUAAGAGGCACCUGGAAUCAUCUACUACCAAUUUUGAACACUGAUAACACGAACGUUUUGUUUUAGAGAUAAACAAAAUGAAAUAAUGCAAAAAUUAUUCCGGAGCUUUAAAGCUGUUAGAUUAUGAUUUCCUUGAAAUAAUUAGUGCAAAAUUAAUACCAACAGUGUUAUACUGUACCAGACACUUUAAUAUUCAUAGUUAUUUAGACAUAAUGCACUCCUGUCACAAAAGCCUAGAAAAAUAUUCAGAUAAUUAAGGGCGAUCUGUAUUCCUCUGCAAAAAUACAUCAUCUUUCAACAAAGGCUAAAGCCCUCCAGAUAUUAAAAUGCAUAACAUUUGCUGCCUUUACUCAUUAUAAUUACAUUUUAUUAAUGCAUAAAUCUAUUCAGAUUAUCCAUUAAUAUCA